rnacentral:tRNA from 1 species
GCCGGUGCCUACGGCAUGGGGGUCGACUAUGCCUACACCAUGGUUCACAAGGCCGCCCAACGCACGGCCACGCCGCACGAAUCGGUGGCGCCGGUGCC